GGAGCCGUGGAUCGAGGGCAGGGUCGUCGGGUUGGGGCCGACGUCGUUGUCGGGUGGCAGCGCCGGUUCGGCGUUGCGGUCGUUGAUGGCCGUG
rnacentral:tRNA from 1 species